rnacentral:rRNA from 1 species
AUGCAGUCGAGCGAACAGACGAGGAGCUUGCUCCUUUGACGUUAGCGGCGGACGGGUGAGUAACACGUAGGUAACCUACCUAUAAGACUGGGAUAACUUCGGGAAACCGGAGCUAAUACCGGAUAAUAUUUCGAACUGCAUGGUUCGAUAGUGAAAGAUGGCUUUGCUAUCACUUAUAGAUGGACCUGCGCCGUAUUAGCUAGUUGGUAAGGUAACGGCUUACCAAGGCAACGAUACGUAGCCGACCUGAGAGGGUGAUCGGCCACACUGGAACUGAGACACGGUCCAGACUCCUACGGGAGGCAGCAGUAGGGAAUCUUCCGCAAUGGGCGAAAGCCUGACGGAGCAACGCCGCGUGAGUGAUGAAGGUCUUCGGAUCGUAAAACUCUGUUAUUAGGGAAGAACAAACGUGUAAGUAACUGUGCACGUCUUGACGGUACCUAAUCAGAAAGCCACGGCUAACUACGUGCCAGCAGCCGCGGUAAUACGUAGGUGGCAAGCGUUAUCCGGAAUUAUUGGGCGUAAAGCGCGCGUAGGCGGUUUUUUAAGUCUGAUGUGAAAGCCCACGGCUCAACCGUGGAGGGUCAUUGGAAACUGGAAAACUUGAGUGCAGAAGAGGAAAGUGGAAUUCCAUGUUUAGCGGUGAAAUGCGCAGAGAUAUGGAGGAACACCAGUGGCGAAGGCGACUUUCUGGUCUGUAACUGACGCUGAUGUGCGAAAGCGUGGGGAUCAAACAGGAUUAGAUACCCUGGUAGUCCACGCCGUAAACGAUGAGUGCUAAGUGUUAGGGGGUUUCCGCCCCUUAGUGCUGCAGCUAACGCAUUAAGCACUCCGCCUGGGGAGUACGACCGCAAGGUUGAAACUCAAAGGAAUUGACGGGGACCCGCACAAGCGGGUUGAAGCAUGUGGUUUAAUUCGAAGCAACGCGGAAGAACCCUUACCAAAUCUUGACAUCCUUUUGAUCCUUUCUAGAAGAUA